UGGGGAAUUUUGGACAAUGGGCGAAAGCCUGAUCCAGCAAUGCCGCGUGAGUGAAGAAGGCCUUCGGGUUGUAAAGCUCUUUUGUCAGGGAAGAAACGGUGAGAGCUAAUAUCUCUUGCUAAUGACGGUACCUGAAGAAUAAGCACCGGCUAACUACGUGCCAGCAGCCGCGGUAAUACGUAGGGUGCAAGCGUUAAUCGGAAUUACUGGGCGUAAAGCGUGCGCAGGCGGUUUUGUAAGUCUGAUGUGAAAUCCCCGGGCUCAACCUGGGAAUUGCAUUGGAGACUGCAAGGCUAGAAUCUGGCAGAGGGGGGUAGAAUUCCACGUGUAGCAGUGAAAUGCGUAGAUAUGUGGAGGAACACCGAUGGCGAAGGCAGCCCCCUGGGUCAAGAUUGACGCU
rnacentral:rRNA from 1 species